CUCAUUUUCUUUUCUUUUUAAUUGAAGUCUAGUCAGUUUACAAUGUUGUGUCCAUUUCUGGUGAACAGCAUAAUGCAUCAGUCAUACAUGUACGCACAUACACUCGUUUUCAUAUUCUUUGUCAUUAUAGGUUGCUACAAGAUAAUGAAUAUUGGUCCCUGUGCCACAUAG